GCCCGCUUGGCUUAGUGGUAAAGCGCAUCACUAGUACUGAAGUAUUUCAAUACUUCUAUCACUAGUGUAAUGAUGAGAUCACUGGUUCGAUUCCAGUAGUGGGCA